CCCGGUCUACGACUAUGACUACACGGCCACCUUCGAUUAUUACUACGUGACGGGUCUGUAUCCUGCUAAAGUCAACAACAAGGCUGCAGGGAUUGGUCAGAUCAGCCCGGUGCUCCUGCUGGGAUUGGCUGUUCAUCAGAUAUGGAACUGAAGGGGGCGGGGCCAAAGACAACCUGCAGACAGGCCGUGACCUCUGACCUCCCCUGAGGAGCCUGGAGAUCAAACUGUCGUCACACUCGGAGUUAAAGCUGUGUCUCUGCUGCCCCCUGCUGGACGCUCUCAUUAACUGUCUCUAAAAUGUUUUUCAGUCAAUUCUUUUUUCUACAAGAUU